AGAGCGAACACUGGCGGCAGGCCUAAUACAUGCAAGUCGAACGGAUCCUUCGGGAUUAGUGGCGGACGGGUGAGUAACACGUGGGAACGUGCCCUUUGGUUCGGAACAACUCAGGGAAACUUGAGCUAAUACCGGAUGUGCCCUUCGGGGGAAAGAUUUAUCGCCAUUGGAGCGGCCCGCGUCUGAUUAGCUAGUUGGUGGGGUAAAGGCCCACCAAGGCGACGAUCAGUAGCUGGUCUGAGAGGAUGAUCAGCCACACUGGGACUGAGACACGGCCCAGACUCCUACGGGAGGCAGCAGUAGGGAAUCUUGCGCAAUGGGCGAAAGCCUGACGCAGCCAUGCCGCGUGAAUGAUGAAGGUCUUAGGAUUGUAAAAUUCUUUCAGCGGGACGAUAAUGACGGUACCCGCAGAAGAACGCCCGGCUAACUUCGUGCCAGCAGCCGC
rnacentral:rRNA from 1 species